CGUUAUUUUGACCCCAGUAUUGGCAUAGUUGUGGUGUACAAGUUAGUGUUAGGGCGUGAUGUUACUCUGAGCUGGUACCCCGUUACCCUUUGGGGUCGCUAGGGCUGACAGACCCCCUAGCUUACGCUCAUUUUGUACACCCUCAAAACGCCAAUACAUAGGCGGUAUUGUUAUUGAACGAGGCAAUGGUUGGAAGAUGAGGCAUCGCGUGAAAUGAGGAGACUGGCGAGUUAGGAAUGUGGCGGAGACACCCCCAUUGUGAUGGAACCAGUGGUUGAGCGAUGAUUGAAGUCAGACAGUGGCGAGCAGAAGUUGUUGGGAGAUGUGCUACUCGAGUUAGCCGAUAUGGAGGCGAGAGGCUUGAGUACCCGAGACGUGGAGAACAUGGUGUGUAGGUACUUUCGGGAGAGACCUGCAAGUGUUGAAGGUGGAAGUUGACGUGUUCCAUACAAGAUUGUGGAGAUCAUGGUUUAUUGGUAGAGGAAAUCGGAGCCAGCGGACUUUGACGUACAAGGGAAGCAGAGGCUGAUGUGCAAGAAAGAAGUGUUGAAGACAAGGAUGACGCGACCCACACCGUGAAGAAGUGAAAGGAGUUGAGAAUUGCGAAGAUAUGAAGUUACAUUAGAGAAAUUUGGUCCUGAAUGAAUAAUGUGUACACUAGUAAAGAUGAAUGUGAAAUGAAAGUUUAAAUUUCAUUUGUUAGGUGGAAGCGGAGUGUGUUAGAGAUGCAUUUAAUGUUGAGAUCAUAAUGUAGUCGUAGUGAGUGAGAAGAAUGUAUUUGUUUUGGCCUUAAGUAGUAUGUCCUGAAACAGUGUUCCGAUGAUAGAUGGGCCAAAAUGUGUUUGUUGUGAAACCCCCUCAGUGUGUUGAUUGUUGUCACCGUGAGGGGGCUUGGUGUGCAGCUGCCGGAGUGUGAUGCUCUGUAGGUCAGUCCUCUGUCCUUUUACAGCCUUAUGCUCCUGCUGCUGCCUUUACCGCUUUUGGUGGUGGCCAUAACUGUACUGCUGUUAUUUCGUUCGUCCCCCUAGUUGUUUCGUCCCCUAUGCAUUGUUCUGAUGGCAGUGUUGUUUGUUGGUAAAUGUUAUACAGUGUGUUCCAUUUAUCUCUCUGGAAAUGUCCCAUUUUUCGUUACUGAUGUUAAGCACCUCCUGGACGCCUUGGCAGAGGCUUUGGUGGUUGUUUGUGAACUGAACGGUCUCGGGUGAUGUUGUGAGAAACACCCGAGAGCGUGUUUUGGAACCGUUCGUCGUCGCUUUGUUUAUCUGUUCUGGAUUUUGGUGAGGCCAGUCGUGUGGACUCUUGGACUCGCACCCUUUCCUGUGUUGAUAUUUGUGUCUGGUCGUCGUGCGUGUACUUAGAAUUGACGUUGUAUGUUUUAGGUGACCUCGAUAAGUGAUGAUUUGGUCAUCCUCGUUUCGUUUUUGUUUGGGCACUCCUGUUUCGUUCCGUAGGUGUUAGUGUGGUCUGUGCGUGUUCCUGGCGGCCUCGUCCUUUUUUGAGUGUCUUAACGAUGCCGUCAGGUGUAUCCCUUGCUGUUCCUUCCAGGGCACACGGAAGUGUUCGCAGUUUUGUCAUGUGUGGUUGUCAUGUUUGUCACUCUUUGGUAAGUGUGUUGUUUAAUGUUAUCCUUUAGAUGUUCAAAAUUGUGUCCGGCUUCACUAUAAGGAUGCUUUCUGUAUUGUUUAAAUUGUGUGGGCCGGCCCUGUGCGGAUGUAGGGCAGCGGGCUGUGAUGACGUUAAUUGAGAUGCAGGCGAUGAGUCACAAUAAUGUGGCUGAAGUAUGUUGAGCAGACCACACACUAGAAAUUGAAGGGACGACGACGUUUCGGUCCGUCGUGGACCCUGUUAAUUGAGAUGCUUUGCCAUGUGGCUCUGUGCACGUAUCAUGAUUUAUUGAAUGUGCAUAAGGAGGUGUUUUAAGUGUUCGUUUUUUGAGGCUUGUAUGCCGUUGUACUCGUUAAUGGGAUACCGGGGUGUCUGUGUACGUUACCAAAUGAGUUCCGCGCUAUUUGCCUCAGGGGUUGUUUGCAAGCUGUUUGAGCGUAUGUCAAAUGUCCGUGUGAAGUUGUUGUUUUGAAGAGCAUCACCACGUGUCUCCUCGUGAAGAUUGGUUUUGCAAGUGGUGCAGGACGAGUGAUGUCCUGGUGACGUUUGAGGUGUAUAUUGGUAGUAGUGUUGCUGCGAAGAGCUCCGUUGUUUUAUUUUUUGACGUUGAAAAUGGUUAUGGGAGGACUUUGAGAUAGCAUAUUGUGUAUGAAGUUCGCUGUUUUGUCGUUCGUGGUAAUAUCCCUCUGUUCGUUGAAAGGUUUGUCUCGUCGUAGCUUUAGAGUCCGGCUUGGUGCCACUGUGUCUGGCUGUUUUCGGCAGUUUGAAGAUGUGGGCCAAGGUAUUGUUGUGAGUAGUAGUAUUAGUAGUAUUUUUGUAUCGUGAGUAGUUUGUGUGGUUUUCCUGAAUGGUGUCGUUUCCUGCGUUCGUUGUGGCAUGAUUUAUGGUUUUUGUUUAUGAUGUUAGUGUUUGGUGUGAGGGUGAUGAAUGGGCUGUCGUUGAACUGGGGCUUCAAGUUUUGGUUGAUGCCGUUUCAUGUUUGGCUACGGAUCAUGGCUUCAAGUUCUUUAAUACUAAGAGUUUGUAUGUGAAUGAGGUAGUUGUUCGUGCCUGUUUGUCACGUUAUGGUCAUCCCCUUGAGUACAAAGAUUGGAGGAAGUUAUUGUUGUUAAUCUUUGACACUGGUGUGUCUUGGUCGUCGCAUGUUUUUUAGGUCAGUGUUGAGUGUUGUAAGGCCCUUAACGUACUUAAGGUGUUGUCUCAUACUUGUUAUGGAGGAGAUAGGCGCACGCUUGUAUAUUUGCAUUGUUGUGUGUAAGGUUGAAUAUGGUUUGGCUGCGUAGUCUUCUGCUUGUCGUUGUAGUGUUGGCCGUUUGCACCAUAGUGGGUAGCGCGUGAGGUCUGGUUGAAAUCGUUCUUGUCGUAGCCUCGGGUUGUACGCUGACAGUGUCUUUGUCUGCAUGAUUGCCAUGUUGGUUGAUUUUUACAGCAUCGUCAGGUGGCUGUAUGUUGGUUUGAGUUUACCCUCGUGUACUUGUCGUUGCUGUUCAGGACUUUCGUGUCCGUUGGUGUCGCUUACAAUAAUGUGUGUUAUUAUAUAUCGUAUUGUUGCCUCAUUGCCCCCGUGGAGGGUUCCCCUUGGGCAAUUGUGUACAUAUGUGACCCGCAUCACUAAAGGUUUGACCCCUCGUACGUAUAUGAAAUUGGUGUUCGUUGAGCACUGUUGUUGUCAGUGGCAGUCCGUUCCCAUGUUCACGGAUGGGUGUAUGUGUGUUAUUUGUUUGUUUUUCCUGAGGGUAGGAUAUUUUCAGGAUAAGUGUUUUGUAUUGUGUAUGCUGUUGGUGUCGUUGUUUCGUGCUGUCAAUCGUGGUAGUUGACUUUCGUAGUGCCCUGAUGGGUUUGUGGUCGUAUAAUGUGGUGCAAGUGGUGGUAUUGUAAAAUCAAGAUUGGCUGCUUGUUAUGUGGAGUGAAUAUAAGGUUUGAGUUUUCUUGGUUCCCAGCCAUGUUGGUGUAUGUUUAAAUGAGGGUGGUGAUGCUGGGGGUAAGGACGCUAUGCGCACUUGUCCCAUGUUGGGUAAAGUUGUUUAUUCCGACGUUGACCUUGUUAUUAAUGUAGCGCCGCCCUGCUCGUUAUUGUCGAACAUUGAAUGUUUGUGUGAUGGUUGUACAUAUCGUUCCCGGUUUGGUGUGUUGUUUUGAUAAUUAGUUAGAAACCGUUACUUGGUAAGAUAUAAGUGACAGUUUAAGAACGCGUGUUCGUUGAUCAUAACGAAAUUAGAGACGUAGGUAACGUUGCGGGCUUUGUAGCAUAUGUUGACAGUGGUGUAGGUAGUUGAAAUGUUAUUGGGAGAGAAAUGUAAUAGUGUUGAUGGGUUUUGCGUGGAACAUGUUGUGAAAAUGACAUGAUUUAAUAAUGUUUUUAAAAGUUAUUACAGAAAUAGAAUGUGUAAAUGAGUAUUGCAGGUUGUUGUUGGUAAAUAACAUUGAGGAAGAGAUUGUCAUUGUUUGGCGUCGAUGUUUGAAGGGUGCACGAAGAAGUAGUUUGGGAUAAAAUGAAGAAAAGCAAUGAGUUAGACGUGUUAAAUAAGAGGAUUGGUAUGGUGCAAAUGUGACAUAUCGGCAAAGCAUAAACAGGGAAGAACGUACAGAUAUUGUUUAAGGGAGGAAAAUCAUCCAAGAAUGUAUAUAUUGUAGAGUAAGAAGUAAGUGUGAUUAUAAAAUAGAACUGUAAAUGUCCAUUGACACUUUAGUUGUAGGAUGAUGUAAAUAACUGAUUUGUAGAGUAAUAUUUAAAAAAUUAUAUAAUGGUUUAUGUAAGAAAUGUUGUAUUUUAGAAUCAAUAAUAGAAAUAUAUAGUUUUACUACAAGUAUUAAUAUAGAAAAAAUGAUAUUUUAAGUGUAGAUGUGAAUAGUAAAUAUUAUUGACUUGAUGAACUGUACGUAAGAAGAAAUAGUGAACAUGUUUAAUCUAAGAAUAAAUAAAUAUACUUUGUUAUAAAUAAUGAAGAUGGUU